UACGGAGGGUGCAAGCGUUAUCCGGAUUCACUGGGUUUAAAGGGUGCGUAGGUGGCUUUGUAAGUCAGUGGUGAAAUACCGCAGCUCAACUGCGGAACUGCCAUUGAUACUGCUUAGCUUGAAUCACGUCGAGGUGGAUGGAAUAUUACAUGUAGCGGUGAAAUGCUUAGAUAUGUAAUAGAACACCGAUUGCGAAGGCAGUUCACUAGGCGUGUAUUGACACUGAGGCACGAAAGCGUGGGGAUCAAACAGG
rnacentral:rRNA from 1 species